rnacentral:rRNA from 1 species
UACGUAGGGGGCAAGCGUUGUCCGGAUUUAUUGGGCGUAAAGAGCGUGUAGGCGGCCAUGCAGGUCCGUUGUGAAAACUCGAGGCUCAACCUCGAGACGUCGAUGGAAACCGCACGGGCUAGAGUCCGGAAGAGGAGAGUGGAAUUCCUGGUGUAGCGGUGAAAUGCGCAGAUAUCAGGAAGAACACCCGUGGCGAAGGCGGAUCUCUGGGCCUGUCCUGACGCUGGAGGCGCGAAAGCUAGGGGAGCGAACAGG